UACGGGGGGGGGCAAGCGUUGUUCGGAAUUACUGGGCGUAAAGGGCUCGUAGGCGGCCAACUAAGUCAGACGUGAAAUCCCUCGGCUUAACCGGGGGAACUGCGUCUGAUACUGGAUGGCUAGAGAUUGGGAGAGGGAUGCGGAAUUCCAGGUGUAGCGGUGAAAUGCGUAGAUAUCUGGAGGAACACCGGUGGCGAAGGCGGCAUCCUGGACCAACACUGACGCUGAGGAGCGAAAGCCAGGGGAGCAAAGCGGG
rnacentral:rRNA from 1 species